rnacentral:rRNA from 3 species
UUCCGGUUGAUCCUGCCGGAGGUUACUGCUAUCGAGGUUCGACUAAGCCAUGCGAGUCGAAUGUAGCAAUACAUGGCGAACUGCUCAGUAACACGUGGACAACCUGCCCUUAGGACGGGGAUAAACCCGGGAAACUGGGUAUAAUACCCGAUAGGUCUCGAUUGCUGGAAUGCAUCGAGAUUUAAAGCUCCGGCGCCUAAGGAUGGGUCUGCGGCCUAUCAGGUAGUAGUGGGUGUAGCGUACCUACUAGCCUACGACGGGUACGGGUUGUGAGAGCAAGAGCCCGGAGAUGGAUUCUGAGACACGAAUCCAGGCCCUACGGGGUGCAGCAGGCGCGAAAACUUUACAAUGCUGGCAACAGCGAUAAGGGAACCUCGAGUGCCAGGUUACAAAUCUGGCUGUCGAGAUGCCUAAAAAGCAUUUCAUAGCAAGGGCCGGGCAAGACCGGUGCCAGCCGCCGCGGUAACACCGGCGGCUCGAGUGGUAACCGUUAUUAUUGGGUCUAAAGGGUCUGUAGCCGGCCGGAUAAGUCUCUUGAGAAAUCUGGCAGCUUAACUGUCAGGCUUUCAGGAGAUACUGUCUGGCUCGAGGCCGGGAGAGGUGAGAGGUACUUCAGGGGUAGGGGUGAAAUCUUGUAAUCCUUGAAGGACCACCAGUGGCGAAGGCGUCUCACCAGAACGGACCUGACGGCAAGGGACGAAAGCUAGGGGCACGAACCGGAUUAGAUACCCGGGUAGUCCUAGCCGUAAACGAUACUCGCUAGGUGUCGGCCACGGUGCGACCGUUGUCGGUGCCGUAGGGAAGCCGUGAAGCGAGCCACCUGGGAAGUACGGCCGCAAGGCUGAAACUUAAAGGAAUUGGCGGGGGAGCACCACAACGGGUGGAGCUUGCGGUUUAAUUGGAUUCAACGCCGGG